AGGUAGUUUCUAGGCUAGCUAUCGCCGUGUUGUAAAAGAAGACUAGCUCCUUUUAGGUGUUAUGUUACGUAUAAUUCUUCAAUGCGCUUGCAUAACUGCAGUGUGAA